rnacentral:tRNA from 1 species
CUGACUCCAGAUCAGAAGGCUGUGUGUUCGAAUCACACCGGGGUCA